rnacentral:rRNA from 1 species
CCUACGGGCGGCAGCAGUGAGGAAUAUUGGUCAAUGUGCGCGAGCCUGAACCAGCCAAGUAGCGUGCAGGAUGACUGCCCUACGGGUUGUCAACUUCUUUUGUAAAGGAAUAAAGUGCGGCACGUGUGCCUUUUUGUAUGUACUUUAUGAAUAAGGCUCGGCUAACUCCGUGCCAGCAGCCGCGGUAAUACGGAGGAUCCGAGCGUUAUCCGGAUUUCUUGGGUUUAAAGGGAGCGUAGAUGGGUUGUUAAGUCAGUUGUGAAAGUUUGCGGCUCAACCGUACAAUUGCAAUUGAUACUGGCAGUCUUGAGUACAGUUGAGGUAGGCGGAAUUCGUGGUGUAGCGGUGAAAUGCUUAGAUAUCACGAAGAACCCCGAUUGCGAAGGCAGCUUACUAAACUGCCACUGACAUUGAUGCUCGAAAGUGUGGGUAUCAAACAGGAUUAGAUACCCCAGUAGUC